rnacentral:misc_RNA from 1 species
UACGACUAUGUUCUUACAACU